rnacentral:rRNA from 1 species
GAUGAACGCUGGCGGCGUGCCUAAUACAUGCAAGUCGAGCGAACAGACGAGGAGCUUGCUCCUCUGACGUUAGCGGCGGACGGGUGAGUAACACGUGGAUAACCUACCUAUAAGACUGGGAUAACUUCGGGAAACCGGAGCUAAUACCGGAUAAUAUAUUGAACCGCAUGGUUCGAUAGUGAAAGACGGUUUUGCUGUCACUUAUAGAUGGAUCCGCGCCGCAUUAGCUAGUUGGUAAGGUAACGGCUUACCAAGGCAACGAUGCGUAGCCGACCUGAGAGGGUGAUCGCCCGCACUGGAACUGAGACACGGUCCAGACUCCUACGGGAGGCAGCAGUAGGGAAUCUUCCGCAAUGGGCGAAAGCCUGACGGAGCAACGCCGCGUGAGUGAUGAAGGUCUUCGGAUCGUAAAACUCUGUUAUUAGGGAAGAACAAAUGUGUAAGUAACUAUGCACGUCUUGACGGUACCUAAUCAGAAAGCCACGGCUAACUACGUG